rnacentral:rRNA from 1 species
UACGUAGGGUGCGAGCGUUGUCCGGAAUUACUGGCGUAAAGAGCUCGUAGGCGGUUUGUCGCGUCGUCCGUGAAAACUUGGGGCUCAACCCCAAGCUUGCGGGCGAUACGGGCAGACUUGAGUACUGCAGGGAGGACUGGAAUUCCUGGUGUAGCGGUGAAAUGCGCAGAUAUCAGGAGGAACACCGGUGGCGAAGGCGGGUCUCUGGGCAGUUCCUGACGCUGAGGCGCGAAAGCUAGGGGAGCGAACGGG